CCUUUGAUGCGGGGCGGUACCUCGGGAGAAAAGCGCGGACAGUAGCGCGUGCGGGUUUAGGUUAGGGGGGGUCUAGAGGAAUAGGAAAGGAAGACGCGGCGGGUUAGGGAGACGAAAACUCCGGAGGCUGGUGGUAGGGAGGUACCGAGGGGCGGAAGGUUCCAGUGGGCUCGCGGAGUUGGGCGUGAGAUACUACACCUAGACAUGGGCGGCCGGUGGUGGUAGGUACCGAGGAGGCGAUAACCCUGUGCCGCAGCAGGGUAGAGGCAAGACCUAUAGUGGUACGCUGUGGUUGCGAACAGGAGGAGGAGGUGGUACCGGGACGAGUCUGGUGCGGCGGUAGCUACGGUGGCAACUCUUAGGUGGGGUUGAGCUCGUCAAGUGGCCGCAGUACCUCCUUCGCGAUUCGUCGACGUAACGUUUAUACUCCUUGUAGUAGGCACGUUCUUCAAGUCUAAGUGAGCUGCCGUUCUUUAUCACAGUAUAAAAAGAAGGUUUAUCAUACAUGGUAAGGGGUGUAACUAUGAAUACUAGUGGGUAAACUAUAGAGGAAAAGGAUCAAUGUCAAGUAGGUCCAGUCCUCAUCCUAAAUUCCAAGUACUAGGUUGAUAUUCUCUGCACAUUUUAGGAAACGGGAACUGUACCAUACCAUGUAAGACGAUAAAGGGAUGGACAGAGGUUUAAGUACAUAACUAAUUAAAACUAAGUUCAAAAGAUAGAACGUUCUAGUACGAUAGAAGUUAUACGAGUUCUUGUAGACUUUACGUGGAUCUGUAAUAUAAAGUUUCAUAACUGUUACUUUGACAUGGUCCUUUCCUAAUAAUGGUCGUCGAUACGAGUUCUAUACUUACGAGACAAUAUUGUUACUUGUUCGAUCCCUAUGCAAGUCCCCGAGGAUAGUACCCGGUAUGAUAUACAGUAGAAUUAAAUCAAUGAGGAAAAUGAUGAACGAAGAACCUUAAAGGAUAAGAGAACAAUAGGAGGGAGGCAAGGCUUAAUGAACAGCAUCUUUACCUACAUAGAUCUGUAAAAAAAGGUAAAGAUACU
rnacentral:rRNA from 1 species